UUUCAGUGUUUUUUAGUGUAUUCACAGGGUUGCAAAACCAUCACUGCUGUCUUAUUUUAUUUUUUUGGUACUUUUUGGUAGAGACAGGGUUUCGCCACGUUGGCCAGGCUAGUCUCAAACUCCUGACCUCAAAUGAUCUGCCCGCCUCGGCCUCCCAAAGUGCUGGGAUUACAGGCAGCUGCUCCCAACCCCAGCAACUUUGCUAUCUUAGAACGGAUCACCAGUGAAAGAGGGGAAGUUGCUACUGUGAUGAAUUCUGCCAUGUGGUACCAGACUGCUGCCCAGACCACAGUGUCCUCUGCAACCCUGGUAACUCACAUACAGGCCUGAUUCCACCUACAGCAAAGCUGGAUGCUAUGGUUGGCAGAGGCAAGCCCCUUGCCUGCACUUCAGGCCAAAGCCGGGAUGUGGCCUAGAUGGUUCCUAAGGUCCCUGACAGUCCUGAGAUCUUUCAUCUUGUCUAUUUCAGGUCAAAGGUGCCUACAUGUUCCUUCUAGCUUUGUUUCCCUGAUGUUCCUUGCCACCUGCUACUCCUCUCUGAGCUACUUUUCCAGGUUCCACAGGGAGAGGUUCAGCUGUCCAUGGUAGACAUGAGGGUAGAGAAUGAGAUGGUUGGGUUCCACUUACCUUUCUAUCAUCUUGCAGUAUGGAUGUCUCUUGACUGGUACCAUGUAGACUUUUGAGGGCAGACAGGAGUCUGCAGAGAGAUACUGGGGAUAUUGAGCAGCAGCAAUGGGGUUGGGAGGCAGAAAUGAGGACAGGAACAUUUACCUUGUGUUUCUCUCAGCUUCUCAGAUGACCAAGAUGGUGCUGCCGAUGGUGUUGAGGACGGAGAACCCACCAAGCCC
rnacentral:lncRNA from 1 species